rnacentral:rRNA from 1 species
UCAAGCUACAAAGAGCACAAGGGGAAUGCCUUGGCACCGAGAGCCGAAGAAGGACGUGACUAACUGCGAUAAGCUGCGGGGAGCCGUAAGUAGGCUUUGAUCCGCAGAUUUCCGAAUGGAGCAAUCCGGCAAGAGGAAAGUCUUGUCAUCAUAUACUGAAUACAUAGGUAUAUGAGGGGAACCGCCUGAACUGAAACAUCUAAGUAGGGCGAGGAAGAGAAAUCAACUGAGAUUCCGUAAGUAGUGGCGAGCGAACGCGGAAGAGGCCAAACCGAGAGUAGUAAUACUUUCGGGGUUCGGACAGAAUACGGCAUUGUAAAGGUUUAGUGGAAUGGAAUGGGAAGUCCAACCGAAGAAGGUGAGAGUCCUGUACACGAAAAGCCUGAACAGCCAUCUGUAUCCAGAGUACCGCCGGACACGUGAAACCCGGUGGGAAUACGGGGGGACCAUCCUCCAAGCCUAAAUACUACUCGGUGACCGAUAGUGAAGAAGUACUGUGAAGGAAAGGUGAAAAGUACCCCUGACGGGGAGUGAAAAAGAACCUGAAACCUUGUGUUUACAAGCACCGAAAGCUCAUCAAAGAGCGAUCGGGUACCUUUUGUAGAAUGGUCCGGCGAGUGAAUGUAACCGGCGAGGUUAAGCACUUAAGGUGUGAAGCCGCAGCGAGAGCAAGUCUGAAUAGGGCGUAUGAAGUCGGUUGUAUUCGACCCGAAACCGGGUGACCUACCCAUGGUCAGGUUGAAGUAAAGGUAAAACUUUAUGGAGGACCGAACCGACUCCCGUUGAAAUGGUAGCGGAUGAACUGUGGGUAGCGGAGAAAUUCCAAUCGAACCCGGAGAUAGCUGGUUCUCUCCGAAAUAGCUUUAGGGCUAGCCUUGAAAUAGAUUACCGGAGGUAAAGCACUGAAUUGGCUAGGGGCCGAGAGGUUACUGAACCUUAUCAAACUAAGAAUGCCGGAUAAUCGUUUUUCAGGAGUCAGACAGUGGGAGAUAAGUUUCAUUGUCAAAAGGGAAACAGCCCAGACCCACAGCUAAGGUCCCCAAGUAUAGUUAAGUGGAAAAGGAUGUGGAAUUGCACAGACAACCAGGAUGUUGGCUUAGAAGCAGCCACUCAUUAAAAGAGUGCGUAAUAGCUCACUGGUCGAGUGACUCUGCGCCGAAAAUUUAACGGGGCUAAACUAUACACCGAAGCUUGGGAUACAUCUAAUGUAUGGUAGGAGAGCGUUCUGUAUGGGGAGAAGUCGUAGCGAAAGCGGCGGUGGACUAUACAGAAGUGAGAAUGCCGGAAUAAGUAGCGAGAAUUAAGUGAGAAUCUUAAUGGCCGAAAGUCUAAGGUUUUUGGAGGAAGGUUCGUCCGCUCCAAGUAAGUCGGGAGCUAAGGUCAGGCCGAAAGGCGUAGCCGAUGCACAUACGGUUGAUAUUCCGUAACCAUCUGUAAUUUAAGCAAAGGGACACUUCAAAAGGGUGUGACCCGGGCGUUGGUUGACCCGGGCGUAAGGGACCGAAAUUAGAGUAGGGAAGCACACUUGGCUGAAGGCGAGAAAAGCUUUGCGUAUAGAAACAGAUGCCCGUACCGCAAACCGACACAGGUGGACAGGAAGAGAAUUCUAAGGCCAGCGGGAGAAGGGUAGUUAAGGAACUCGGCAAAUUGACUCCGUAACUUCGGAAUAAGGAGUGCUCGAAAGAGCCGCAGAGAAUAGGCCCAGGCGACUGUUUAGCAAAAACACAGGUCUCUGCCAAAUCGAAAGAUGAAGUAUAGGGGCUGACACCUGCCCGGUGCCGGAAGGUUAAGAGGAAGAGUGAGAGCUCCGAAUUGAAGCCCCGGUAAACGGCGGCCGUAACUAUAACGGUCCUAAGGUAGCGAAAUUCCUUGUCGGGUAAGUUCCGACCUG